AUGGGGUGACUGCGUACCUUUUGUAUAAUGGGUCAGCGACUUAUAUUCUGUAGCAAGGUUAACCGUAUAGGGGAGCCGUAGGGAAACCGAGUCUUAACUGGGCGAAUGAGUUGCAGGGUAUAGACCCGAAACCCGGUGAUCUAUCCAUGGGCAGGUUGAAGGUUGGGUAACACUAACUGGAGGACCGAACCGACUAAUGUUGAAAAAUUAGCGGAUGACUUGUGGAUGGGGGUGAAAGGCCAAUCAAACCGGGAGAUAGCUGGUUCUCCCCGAAAGCUAUUUAGGUAGCGCCUCGUGAAUUCAUCUUCGGGGGUAGAGCACUGUUUCGACUAGGGGGUCAUCCCGACUUACCAACUCGAUGCAAACUGCGAAUACCGAAGAAUGUUAUCACGGGAGACACACGGCGGGUGCUAACGUCCGUCGUGAAGAGGGAAACAACCCAGACCGCCAGCUAAGGUCCCAAAGUCAUGGUUAAGUGGGAAACGAAGUGGGAAGGCUCAGACAGCCAGGAUGUUGGCUUAGAAGCAGCCAUCAUUUAAAGAAAGCGUAAUAGCUCACUGGUCGAGUCGGCCCGCGCGGAAGAUGUAACGGGGCUAAACCAUGCACCGAAGCUGCGGCAGCGACACAAUGUGUUGUUGGGUAGGGGAGCGUUCUGUAAGCCUGCGAAGGUGUACUGUGAGGUAUGCUGGAGGUAUCAGAAGUGCGAAUGCUGACAUAAGUAACGAUAAUGCGGGUGAAAAACCCGCACGCCGGAAGACCAAGGGUUCCUGUCCAACGUUAAUCGGGGCAGGGUGAGUCGACCCCUAAGGCGAGGCUGAAAAGCGUAGUCGAUGGGAAACGGGUUAAUAUUCCCGUACUGGUGGUAACUGCGAUGGGGGAACGGAGAAGGCUAGGUUGUCCGGGCGACGGUCGUCCCGGUUCAAGCAUGUAGGCAGAGUGAUUAGGCAAAUCCGGUCACUUAAUGCUGAGGUGUGAUGACGAGCCACUAAGGUGGUGAAGCAAUUGAUGCCCUGCUUCCAGGAAAAGCCUCUAAGCUUCAGGUUACCAACAAUCGUACCCCAAACCGACACAGGUGGUCAGGUAGAGAAUACUCAGGCGCUUGAGAGAACUCGGGUGAAGGAACUAGGCAAAAUGGUGCCGUAACUUCGGGAGAAGGCACGCUGGCGGUAAGUGAAGUCCCUUGCGGACGGAGCCGAAGCCAGUCGAAGAUACCAGCUGGCUGCAACUGUUUAUUAAAAACACAGCACUGUGCAAACACGAAAGUGGACGUAUACGGUGUGACGCCUGCCCGGUGCUGGAAGGUUAAUUGAUGGGGUUAUCCUUAGGGAGAAGCUCUUGAUCGAAGCCCCAGUAAACGGCGGCCGUAACUAUAACGGUCCUAAGGUAGCGAAAUUCCUUGUCGGGUAAGUUCCGACCUGCACGAAUGGCGUAAUGAUGGCCAGGCUGUCUCCACCCGAGACUCAGUGAAAUUGAACUCGCUGUGAAGAUGCAGUGUACCCGCGGCAAGACGGAAAGACCCCGUGAACCUUUACUAUAGCUUGACACUGAACAUUGAGCCUUGAUGUGUAGGAUAGGUGGGAGACUAAGAAGUGUGGACGCCAGUCUGCAUGGAGUCAACCUUGAAAUACCACCCUUUAACGUUUGAUGUUCUAACCUAGGUCCAUAAUCUGGAUCGGGGACCGUGUCUGGUGGGUAGUUUGACUGGGGCGGUCUCCUCCUAAAGAGUAACGGAGGAGCACGAAGGUUGGCUAAGCAUGGUCGGACAUCAUGCGGUUAGUGCAAAGGCAUAAGCCAGCUUGACUGUGAGAGUGACGGCUCGAGCAGGUACGAAAGUAGGUCUUAGUGAUCCGGUGGUUCUGAAUGGAAGGGCCAUCGCUCAACGGAUAAAAGGUACUCCGGGGAUAACAGGCUGAUACCGCCCAAGAGUUCAUAUCGACGGCGGUGUUUGGCACCUCGAUGUCGGCUCAUCACAUCCUGGGGCUGAAGUAGGUCCCAAGGGUAUGGCUGUUCGCCAUUUAAAGUGGUACGCGAGCUGGGUUUAGAACGUCGUGAGACAGUUCGGUCCCUAUCUGCCGUGGGCGUUGGAAGAUUGAGAGGGGUUGCUCCUAGUACGAGAGGACCGGAGUGAACGCACCACUGGUGUUCGGGUUGUCAUGCCAAUGGCAUUGCCCGGUAGCUAAGUGCGGAAGAGAUAACCGCUGAAAGCAUCUAAGCGGGAAACUUGCCUCGAGAUGAGUCUUCCCUGUCACCUAGAGUGACCUAAAGGAACGUUUAAGACUAAGACGUUGAUAGGCUGGGUGUGUAAGCGUAGCGAUACGUUGAGCUAACCAGUACUAAUGAACCGUGAGGCUUAACCUG
rnacentral:rRNA from 1 species